UGGGGAAUAUUGGGCAAUGGACGCAAGUCUGACCCAGCAACGCCGCGUGAAGGAAGAAGGCUUUCGGGUUGUAAACUUCUUUUGUCAGGGAAGAGAAGAAGACGGUACCUGACGAAUAAGCCACGGCUAACUACGUGCCAGCAGCCGCGGUAAUACGUAGGUGGCAAGCGUUGUCCGGAUUUACUGGGUGUAAAGGGCGUGUAGCCGGGUCUGCAAGUCAGAUGUGAAAUCCGCGGGCUUAACCCGCGAACUGCAUUUGAAACUGCAGGUCUUGAGUAUCGGAGAGGUCAUCGGAAUUCCUAGUGUAGCGGUGAAAUGCGUAGAUAUUAGGAAGAACACCAGUGGCGAAGGCGGAUGACUGGACGACAACUGACGGUGAGGCGCGAAAGCGUGGGGAGCAAACAGGAUUAGAUACCC
rnacentral:rRNA from 1 species